AAAUUGACUUGUUCCUACUAUCACGUUUAACUCGCCGAAUCCAUGAUUUUCCAUGGCCGGGAGUACGUUGCGCAAUAUUUAAAUUCAAACACGAAAUAGGGUAGGUGCGCUUUUCACAGUCCACACCGCUUAUCUCUAGAAACUUCUUCGACACCGCCCCUCUUUCUCGAAGUUCUGCAAUUUCUUCUCGCAGAGCUCCCCUUCUUCUGUUUCUUCUGAAGCGGAUGAUUUGAUAGUCAUCUCAGGAAGAAACAAUGGCAAGCGCGACAGAGGAGCAGGGACUUUCACAGACGGACAUCAAUUGGCACAGGUUGGACAAGACAAGAUUCCAUGUAAUUGGAGCAGUCCUUUUUUCUGUGCAGUCAGCCAUGCUACACCCUAUGGCUGUUGUAAAGACAAGAAUUCAGGUGGCUGAAGCUGGAUUUACACAAAUGAAUGGCGUACAUAUGUUUCGUAAUAUAUUGAGGACAGAUGGAAUUCCGGGUCUUUUCCGAGGUUAUGGUACAUCUGCAAUAGGAUCUGUACCUGGCAGGGUGCUUUGUCUAACUGCUUUAGAAAUGGCAAAGGAUUCCGUUACAAAAUCAACAGGAGACUUGCCAGAAGCGACGCGUACUGCAAUAGCUAAUUCUACUGCUGGAUUGGUUUCAGCUAUUGUUGCUGGUUUUUACUUUGUGCCACUUGAUGUGGUGUGUCAAAGGCUAAUGGUUCAGGGCCUUCCUAAGAUGACAAAGUUUAAUGGAGCAGUGGAUGCUGUGCAUAAAAUAUUCAUGACAGAGGGCAUCCGUGGUCUCUAUAGGGGCUUUGGGAUGACGUUGGUUUCUAAUUCACCAGCAUCUGCGAUUUGGUGGGGAGCAUACGGGUUUGCACAGCAUAUGAUCUGGAGGGGCUUGGGUUAUGGAGAAGAUCAAGAGAAAAAAUCACCAACGCAUGGGAAUAUUGUUUUAGUGCAAGCAACAGCGGGAACAUUGGCAGGUGCUGCUCAAACUGUUUUGACUACUCCUUUGGAUACAAUAAAAACUCGUCUUCAGGUUAUGGAUAAUUAUGGUGAAGGUAGACCAUCAGUCAUGAAGACAACAAGGCAAUUAUUGAAAGAGGAUGGUUGGAAAGGAUUUUACAGAGGCUUUGGACCACGUUUCUUGAGCAUGUCGCUGUCAGGAACUUCCAUGAUUGUAACUUAUGAACUGAUAAAAAGAUUAUCCGUAAAAGAUCUAUGAUAUAUUUGUGUAUAUAAGCUGGUUAGGAGAUGAUGAAUUUGAGAAGAUUUCAUUGCCAACAUAAUUAGAGUGGUAGCAACUUCAUGAUAUACUACAGGUCUUCAACCUUCUCUAUACCAACGGACUCCAUUCACAUUGAUCUGGAAAAUGCCAAUAGAUCUGUGUACAAAAGAGUUCUUUGAACAUUUUUGGGCAAUGAGGUUUCUGCUGGACAUCUUUCUCAUGCUGAUCAU